AAAGGAAUUGACGGGGCCCGCACAAGCGGAGGAACAUGUGGUUUAAUUCGAUGAUACGCGAGGAACCUUACCUGGGCUUAAAUGUAGAGUGCAUUGGAGGGAAACUUUCAUUUUCUUCGGAACUCUUUACAAGGUGCUGCAUGGUUGUCGUCAGCUCGUGCCGUGAGGUGUCGGGUUAAGUCCCAUAACGAGCGCAACCCUUAUCGUUAGUUGCCAGCGGGUAAAGCCGGGGACUCUAGCGAAACUGCCGGUGUAAACCGAGAGGAAGGUGGGGAUGACGUCAAAUCAGCACGGCCCUUAUGUCCAGGGCUACACACGUGUUACAAUGGCCGGUACAGAGGGCAGCUACCUGUUGACAGGAUGCGAAUCUCGAAAGCCGGUCUCAGUUCGGAUCGGAGUCUGCAACCCGACUCCGUGAAGCUGGAUUCGCUAGUAAUCGCGCAUCAGCCAUGGCGCGGUGAAUACGUUCCCGGGCCUU
rnacentral:rRNA from 1 species